UACAUGUGGAGCAAGCGUUGUUCGGAAUUACUGGGCAUAAAGGGUGCGUAGGCGGCUUGUUAAGUCAGGGGUGAAAGUUUUCGGCCCAACCGGAAAAUUGCCUUUGAUACUGGCGAGCUGGAGUGCGUGAGGGGUGACCGGAACGAGUGGUGUAGCGGUGAAAUGCGUAGAUAUCACUCGGAAGGCCAACGGCGAAGGCAGGUCACUGGUGCGCAACUGACGCUGAGGCACGAAAGCGUGGGGAGCAAACAGG
rnacentral:rRNA from 1 species